rnacentral:rRNA from 1 species
UGCUUGGCGACCAUAGCGUUUUGGACCCACCUGAAUCCAUUCCGAACUCAGAAGUGAAACGAAAUAGCGUCGAUGGUAGUGUGGGGUUUCCCCAUGUGAGAGUAGAACAUCGCCAGGCUC